ACAUUUAAAGCAUAUCACCCAACCCCGGCUAAGGUGUUUCGGAACGGACUGUGCAUUCAGAUACAAAAAUAUGUAAACAAGCGCGAAAGCUGUCAAUGAAGUGAUUUUUUACACAAUUUUAUUGGCAAUUGUCGCAUUUUGAUUCUGUUAUACGCGAAUGAGGUAGCGGGGCAUAUCAAACGCUACCAAGUUCAUUCCGCUAGAGUUGUUCAUUAAUAGAUACAUUAUAAACAAUCCCGUCGACAGUCUUGUUACACCGCAGCUCGUCUCACUCGUCUCAUUCGCCUCAUUCGCACAAUUCAUUGUAUCUUUAUUGCUGACACGUUCGAAUAAGUACAACAACAUCUGAAAUUCUUCCAUAACAAAGAAAGUACGAACAGGCAGUGAAGAGCUUAAAUUGAAUUCAAUAACACAGAAUCAGAUCUCAUAAGGCAUAAGUAAGAACGUGCUUACUCGUUGUUUAAGUAUUGUAGCUGCUAUACAUUCGUGGAAGUCAUUGGCAAAGUUGUCUCUAAUGAUACCCAUCAACUCCCACAUACGCUGCUGCUUAGGCUCAUUUAAAUUAAUUUGUAGCACAUUUGCACUUAAUAAGUCAAGCGCAUUGCUUCGAGAGACGUUUCUUUAUUAGAGGAGUGAGGGGUGGGGUGUUAACAGUAGCAGAACAGUUCAGAGUAGAUAAUUCCAUGGAGCGCACAACUGCAGCUUUGAUGGAAAGUGAUACGACUUUGAUGAGUGAUAAAUUGCGUUUGAUAACUGGAGGGUUUUCCUAUGGAAAUCAGAUACGCGUAUACAUGUAUUCAUUAUGUUUACUUGAACUACAUUUUCCAGUUUGUUUAAACGAACGAAGAAGCAUAAAACGAAAUAUCUAAAGAAGGAUAAAGGAUUUUAUUUGUAUUAUUUAUUUUUCAGUUUCUAAACUUAAAGCGUUUCCAACAACCAUGAUUGCUUCUCUGCUCCCCUAUCCGCAUGGAUAAUGACACGUGGUGGUGUUAAUAGCGCCACAAUUUUACAUUUCGUCAACUAGGAAAAUGCUUAAGGAUAUUUUUGUAUUAGAUGAGAGUGCUAAGGAUACGAGUAAAACACAAACGACAAAAACACCUU